rnacentral:rRNA from 1 species
UACGUGAGGGCGCAAGCGUUUGUCCGGAAUUAUUGGGCGUAAAGAGCUCGUAGGCGGCUUGUCGCGUCGACUGUGAAAUCCCGCGGCUCAACUGCGGGUCUGCAGUCGAUACGGGCAGGCGUAGAGUUCGGUAGGGGAGACGUGGAAUUCCGUGGUGUAGCAGUGAAAUGCGUAGAUAAUGGCGGAGGAACACCGAUGGCGAAGGCAAUCCCCUGGGCC